rnacentral:rRNA from 1 species
GAGAGAUACGGAGGUAGAGCACUGAAUGUCCUAGGGGGUAUUGCACCUACCGAAGACUAUCAAACUCCGAAUGCCGUCAUCUUAUACUUGGGAGUCAGACUGUGGGGGAUAAGAUUCAUAGUCGAAAGGGCAACAGCCCAGAUCGUCAGCUAAGGUCCCUAAAUGUAAGUUAAGUGGUAAAGGAUGUGGGAUUGCACAGACAACCAGGAUGUUGGCUUAGAAGCAGCCACUCAUUCAAAGAGUGCGUAAUAGCUCACUGGUCGAGUGAUCCUGCGCCGAAGAUUUCCGGGGCUAAA